rnacentral:tRNA from 1 species
UAUCCACCAUGGGGCUUGAACCCACGUCCAUAAGGUUAAGAGCUUUGUGCUCUACCAACUGAGUAGUGGAU